GACCGCGGUGGCCGACCUGGUCGCCGCCGGCUCCCACCCGGCGAUCCGGCACGGCCGGUCCUGACCGGCCGCCGCCA
rnacentral:tRNA from 1 species